CAGUAGCCGCGGUAAUACGGAGGGUGCAAGCGUUAAUCGGAAUUACUGGGCGUAAAGCGCACGCAGGCGGUCUGACAAGUCAGAUGUGAAAUCCCCGGGCUUAACCUGGGAACUGCAUUUGAAACUGUCAGGCUGGAGUCUUGUAGAGGGGGGUGGAAUUCCAGGUGUAGCGGUGAAAUGCGUAGAGAUCUGGAGGAAUACCGGUGGCGAAGGCGGCCCCCUGGACAAAGACUGACGCUCAGGUGCGAAAGCGUGGGGAGCGAACAGGAUUAGAUACCCCUGUAGUCCCUGUCUCUUAUAC
rnacentral:rRNA from 1 species